rnacentral:rRNA from 1 species
UGGGGAAUUUUGGACAAUGGGCGAAAGCCUGAUCCAGCAAUGCCGCGUGUGUGAAGAAGGCCUUCGGGUUGUAAAGCACUUUUGUCCGGAAAGAAAUCCUUGGCUCUAAUACAGUCGGGGGAUGACGGUACCGGAAGAAUAAGCACCGGCUAACUACGUGCCAGCAGCCGCGGUAAUACGUAGGGUGCAAGCGUUAAUCGGAAUUACUGGGCGUAAAGCGUGCGCAGGCGGUUUGCUAAGACCGAUGUGAAAUCCCCGGGCUCAACCUGGGAACUGCAUUGGUGACUGGCAGGCUAGAGUAUGGCAGAGGGGGGUAGAAUUCCACGUGUAGCAGUGAAAUGCGUAGAGAUGUGGAGGAAUACCGAUGGCGAAGGCAGCCCCCUGGGCCAAUACUGACGCUCAUGCACGAAAGCGUGGGGAGCAAACAGGAUUAGAUACCCUGGUAGUCCACGCCCUAAACGAUGUCAACUAGUUGUUGGGGAUUCAUUCCUUAGUAACGCAGCUAACGCGUGAAGUUGACCGCCUGGGGAGUACGGUCGCAAGAUUAAAACUUAAAUGAAUUGACGGGGUCAUAGCUGUUUCC